AACGCGAAGAACCUUACCAGGGUUUGACAUACAUGUGACAUCCUUCGAAAGAGGGCUCCCUUCGGGGCACAUGAACAGGUGCUGCAUGGCUGUCGUCAGCUCGUGUCGUGAGAUGUUGGGUUCAGUCCCGCAACGAGCGCAACCCCUAUCCGGUAGUUACCAUUUCUACCGAGACUGCCACUCUAGGGUGGAGGAAGGCGGGGAUGACGUCAAGUCAGCACGGCCCUUACAUCCUGGGCUACACACACGCUACAAUGGCCAGAACAAUGGGCAGCCAACCCGCAAGGGGGAGCGAAUCCUAUCAAAACUGGUCCCAGUUCAGAUUGUAGGCUGCAACCCGCCUGCAUGAAGAUGGAGUUGCUAGUAACCGUAGGUCAGCACACUACGGUGAAUACGUUCCCGGGCCUUGUACACACCGCUCGUC
rnacentral:rRNA from 1 species